CUGACUUUGUGCUUUGCUCCCAUCUGUAAUGACUCUGAAUUUAUGUUUUUUGUAUCAUGUCUUGUUGUGUCUUUGUUUUGAUUUUCCAUGCCCCUCUGUGUCCUUUAAGUUUCUAUGUUCUCCCCUCUGUCUGUUGUAUUGUUCCCUUCACGUUUUCUCAUGUGCUCCUCCCCCUCAUUACCACACCUGGCCUCCUCCCUCCUCACCUGUUCCUCGUCUGUUCAUCAGCGUCUGUGUUUUUAGUCUGUGUCUUCCCUUCACUCCUUGUCCGAUCAUUGUAUUCUGUCUGUCUCUGUCUGCGUCAGCCUCCGGUCAUGCGCCUGCUCCUGUUCAUGUCAUGUCCUCCCAGUCUCCCCAUGGACUAACCACAAACACAGAUGAAUAUGGAAUACAUUGCAGUCCUGCACCGGCAUACUUUGGUUUUAAGCAUAUGACUGCUCACUUUAAAGCCAGGAAGGCCGCAGAGCCCAUCUCUGUCCUCCUCGCAUCCAAAUUUAAUGUGGCGGCCUGUGAGCUCCUGGGCCCCUUCACCUGGAAAAGGUCUAAUCAUAUUUGGCUACAUCUCUGGAGAGGAUAG
rnacentral:lncRNA from 1 species